UCAGACAAUUUACAAAGAGCACAGGGAAUCUUACAACCUCCUGGAUUGUUUUCUACAGUCGAGUUUCGUUGAGCAAGAUGCGUUUCCUUGCGUUGCUGACACUGCUCUGCCUCUUGGGCGCCAUCCUCGCCAGCCCUCUCCCUCAGACCAGGGACAGCCAGAGGAACACGGGGCAGCAGAACAAUCCUUUGCAACAGAACUCCGGCAGAAACUCCCAGGGACCAACAUAUAACCGGAGACCCUAUGUGUUUGACGACUUUCUCGGAGGCAGAUAGCGGGCAACGUCGACCUGAUCUCGUUUUAUCUAUAGGCUGUGUUAUUAAGUGUUUACCUGUUUACCCCUCUGGCCGCUCCUUUGGACGGUCGGGUAAAGUACCUUAGUCACUUAGGUUAUUUAUUUGAUUUGUAUGUUAGAUGUCAUAAUGGAUUGAUACUUAAAUCAACUGGUCAGCUUAGUUUAGGAAGACAAUUUGUGAACACUAGUUGCUGUAUUUGUAGGUAUGUGUACAUAAACAUGCAUCCUUGUACGUCACUAAUGGAUUUCUAAUUUGUGAAUAAUAUUGUUGGUUAUGUUCGAAUGUUUUCACUGAGGCCAAAGAAAGUGACUCGUC